GCAGUUCGUCUACUCGCCAGAUCUAGAUCUGCACCACCAAAUUCCUCUCCCAUUUUCAAAAUUUGAAUUCCCAAAUGAAAAGAGAGGAGAGGGAGACAGGGAGAACGAGAAAUAGAGAGAGAGAGGCGAUGGAGAAGGAGAUAUGACGCCAUGAGAAACCCUAAUUUACAAAAUCGUUCAGAUCUUGAAGGAUUUCCGAUACGAAACCUUUAUUAGGGGGCUACAAUCGAAUGGACAAAAGGUUGAGAGGCAUCGAUUUUAUCAUAAUCGAGAGAAGGAUGAACGGGCAGUGACGAACUGGGUUUCGGUAGGAGUUUAAAGGGAUUUGGAAAGGCAUAGCAAGUGUUUGACGAAAUGUUAUUUAGGAGAUUUUGAAUAUUUUUUUUUCAUGCAGGAGCUUCAAAAUAGAGUUAAUCAAAAGAGGCUAAAAUUACAGUCCAUGGGGAAGUAGGAAGACGUGGCCAGAUUGUGUGGUGAUUUUUGAUACUGAAAGGAAGAGUUUUGUGAUUUAGGAAGCUACUAGGUUGCAGAUUCCUAUUGUAGGGCUGGUGGGCCAGAGUAUGCCGCUGGAGACGUUUAAGAAGAUUACGUAUCCUGUUUCGACGAAUGAUUCGGUGCAGAUUAUGUAUUUGUUUUUUAAUUUGAUUACGAAAACGAUUCAAUACGAGCAGAAGAAGCUCGCUGCGGCUGAAGGGAACGUGGUUAAGGAAGUCGACCUGAAAAUUGGAGAACUACUGUGAUGGUAGAAUUCGUUGAUGCAACUGAUGCAACUGCUGCAACAGAUCCUGUUGGCGCUCACGCGAUUGCCCGGUCAUUUCCUCACACUUAUGGUCAACCUUUGUUUCAUUUUUUCAGAGAAAAAUCUAAACCAGUUAAUGCCCGACAAUUCUUUUCUAGAUUCUGUACGCCUAUUUUCUUGGAGUUUGAUGCAUUGGUUGCUGCUCUUCUGUUUUCCGAAGGAGGUGGGAAGCUCAGCUGAAAAAAAUUGAAGAACUUCAGGCUGAAAAUGAUCUUGUUAGUCAAGAACUUCAAAUGCAACUUGAGGCUGCAGAUAAGGAAUUGAAACAAGUGCAAGAAUUGUUCAACUUGAAGAUAAUGAAGCAGCAGAUAAUUGUCUCAACUUGAAGAAACCAGACUAAAGACACUAAUGUAAUGGAUCAUCUUUCAUUUGUAUCAGUAUGAUAUUAAUUUUAGAUUCUAAUCAGAUCGUUGAUCGUCAUUGUUGCUCUGGGUGUUUUUAAGACAUCAAUUAUAUGGUCUUUUAUAGUAUGUUUUCGGCUUUUUAAGACAUCAAUUAUAUGGUCUUUUAUAGUA